UUGGAGUUUGAGAAUAGGCAGUCUCAUGUAGCGCCGAAGACACCAUUUUAUGCCAAUCUUGUUACAUCCGCACUGACGCCGUUGGUGACUGACUUCGUGCACGGCGGUUAUUCCACUCCUAGCGGUCGUUCCAUUCCUUCUUCGACGCAUAGGCGUGGAUUUUGCACCCGUCUCCAGUGUCAAAUCUGCGAUCGAUUUGGACACACGGCGCAGAGAUGCUACUACCGAUUCGAUCGAGACUAUGGUGGUCUCUCGACUUUGACUGUAGCGGUUCCUGGUCAUGCGGGCUCUGGUUUACGCGACGAAGGCUUUAAUGGUGGCUCCUGUACAAUGGCUCCCGCUAAUGUCU
rnacentral:lncRNA from 1 species